GCAUUGCCUCGUGCCCUUCAGAAGUCUGCAAGCGAGAUGUAAAUGAACAAAAUAAGAUUUCAUUAAAUCGCUUAACAAUUUCCUCUUUAAGAAAACAAAAUUUGAUUCAAAUAAUACCCUGAUUGGCUUCAACUUAUACGGCAAUUGGUACGAGGGAUGUGGUCGGAACUUUUUAAUCACCGCUGAAUCGGGAAACUGGACAACCGCCACUCGCCAGUGCUGCAGUAUCGGAAUGAACCUUGCGUCGAUCGAAUCCGCUGGAAAAUUGGGUUGCUUUACCAAAAUCGUCGAAA